rnacentral:rRNA from 1 species
AUUUAGUGGGGAAUAACUGUUGGAAACGACAGCUAAUACCGCAUAAUAUUGCUGGAUAAUUUCCAGUAAUGAAAGGAGCUUUCAAGCUCCGCUGAUUGAUGAGGAUGCGGCGCAUUAGCUAGUUGGUAGGGUAAUGGCCUACCAAGGCAAUGAUGCGUAGCCGAUCUGAGAGGAUGAACGGCCACAUUGGGACUGAGACACGGCCCAAACUUCUACGGAAGGCAGCAGUAGGGAAUUUUUCACAAUGGGCGAAAGCCUGAUGGAGCAAUGCCGCGUGACUGAUGAAGGUCUUCGGAUUGUAAAGGUCUGUUGUAAGGGAAGAAAUGGUAAAACAGGAAAUGGUUUUAUCUAUGACGGUACCUUACCAGAAAGCCACGGCUAACUAUGUGCCAGCAGCCGCGGUAAUACAUAGGUGGCAAGCGUUAUCCGGAUUUAUUGGGCGUAAAGGGUGCGUAGACGGUUUUGCAAGUCUGAGGUUAAAUUUAGGAGCUCAACUCCUAAUCGCCUUGNAAACUACAAGACUAGAGUAUAGGANAGGUUAGUGGAAUUCCAUGUGUAGCGGUGGAAUGUGUAGAUAUAUGGAGGAACNCCAGUGGCGAA